GCCAUCAUUCAGUUGGGCACUCUAGCGAGACUGCCGGGUAAUAAACCGGAGGAAGGUGGGGAUGACGUCAAAUCAUCAUGCCCCUUAUGACCUGGGCUACACACGUGCUACAAUGGUUGGUACAACGAGUUGCGAGUCGGUGACGGCGAGCUAAUCUCUUAAAGCCAAUCUCAGUUCGGAUUGUAGGCUGCAACUCGCCUACAUGAAGUCGGAAUCGCUAGUAAUCGCGGAUCAGCACGCCGCGGUGAAUACGUUCCCGGGCCUU
rnacentral:rRNA from 1 species